rnacentral:rRNA from 1 species
GGUGCUCGAGUGGCGAACGGGUGAGUAACACGUGAGUAACCUGCCCUUGACUUUGGGAUAACUUCAGGAAACUGGGGCUAAUACCGGAUAGGAGCUCCUGCUGCAUGGUGGGGGUUGGAAAGUUUCGGCGGUUGGGGAUGGACUCGCGGCUUAUCAGCUUGUUGGUGGGGUAGUGGCUUACCAAGGCUUUGACGGGUAGCCGGCCUGAGAGGGUGACCGGCCACAUUGGGACUGAGAUACGGCCUAG